CACUCCUGCGGGAGGCAGCAGUGGGGAAUAUUGCACAAUGGGCGCAAGCCUGAUGCAGCCAUGCCGCGUGUAUGAAGAAGGCCUUCGGGUUGUAAAGUACUUUCAGCGGGGAGGAAGGCAAUACGGUUAAUAACCGUGUUGAUUGACGUUACCCGCAGAAGAAGCACCGGCUAACUCCGUGCCAGCAGCCGCGGUAAUACGGAGGGUGCAAGCGUUAAUCGGAAUUACUGGGCGUAAAGCGCACGCAGGCGGUCUGUCAAGUCGGAUGUGAAAUCCCCGGGCUCAACCUGGGAACUGCAUUCGAAACUGGCAGGCUUGAGUCUUGUAGAGGGGGGUAGAAUUCCAGGUGUAGCGGUGAAAUGCGUAGAGAUCUGGAGGAAUACCGGUGGCGAAGGCGGCCCCCUGGACAAAGACUGACGCUCAGGUGCGAAAGCGUGGGGAGCAAACAGGAUUAGAAACCCUAGUAGUCCC
rnacentral:rRNA from 1 species